UACAGGGGGUGCAAACGUUGCUCGGAAUCAUUGGGCGUAAAGCGCACGCAGGCGGCCUGUUAUGUCGGAUGUGAAAGCCCUUGGCUUAACUGAGGAAGUGCAUCCGAAACUGGCAGGCUAGAGUACUAAAGAGGGUCGCGGAAUUCCCGGUGUAGAGGUGAAAUGCGUAGAUAUCGGGAGGAACACCGGUGGCGAAGGCAGCGACCUGGGUAGAUACUGACGCUGAGGUGCGAAAGCGUGGGGAGCAAACAGG
rnacentral:rRNA from 1 species